rnacentral:rRNA from 1 species
UAACGCGUGGGUAACCUGCCUUGUACAGGGGGAUAACAGUUGGAAACGACUGCUAAUACCGCAUAAGCGCACAGUACCGCAUGGUACGGUGUGAAAAACUCCGGUGGUACAAGAUGGACCCGCGUCUGAUUAGCUAGUUGGUGAGGUAACGGCCCACCAAGGCAACGAUCAGUAGCCGACUUGAGAGAGUGAUCGGCCACAUUGGGACUGAGACACGGCCCAAACUCCUACGGGAGGCAGCAGUAGGGAAUAUUGCACAAUGGGGGAAACCCUGAUGCAGCGACGCCGCGUGAAGGAUGAAGUAUUUCGGUAUGUAAACUUCUAUCAGCAAGGAAGAAAAUGACGGUACUUGACUAAGAAGCCCCGGCUAAAUACGUGCCAGCAGCCGCGGUAAUACGUAUGGGGCAAGCGUUAUCCGGAUUUACUGGGUGUAAAGGGAGCGUAGGCGGCAUGGCAAGUCAGAAGUGAAAGCCUGGGGCUCAACCCCGGAAUUGCUUUUGAAACUGUCAGGCUAGAGUGUCGGAGGGGUAAGCGGAAUUCCUAGUGUAGCGGUGAAAUGCGUAGAUAUUAGGAGGAACACCGGUGGCGAAGGCGGCUUACUGGACGAUUACUGACGCUGAGGCUCGAAAGCGUGGGAGCAAACAGGAUUAGAUACCCUGGUAGUCCACGCCGUACACGAUGAAUACUAGGUGU